GCAUAAAAACGGAAAUUAAAUGUUUUAAUUAAAUUUCAAAUAAAGACCACGAUGAACGACAACAAAACAUAUUCAAAACUUAUUUUUUUGCUUAAGCAGACGUUACGGUUGUUGUCGCUUUAAGAAAAUUUCCCGCUUGACUCAUUCGGUGCGGACCGGUAGUAACCUGUUCUUUUGACAACUUCAGACACGAUUUUCCAACGUCCGAACAUUUUUGGAGGACACCGUUUUCAGCUCGCGAAUACUGGCUGUGGUAUGUUUCUGACCGGUAGUAACCUGUUCUUCUGACAACUUCAGACACGAUUUUCCAGCGUCCGAACAUUUUUGGAGGACACCGUUUUCAGCUCGCGAAUACUGGCUGUGGUAUGUUUCUGACCGAUUGGGAAGAGCCCUCAGAAGUAGCAAUGGA